CCGCGACUAACUUCUAGACUGGUUCCGAAAUUAACAGAAAAAUACGAUCAGUUUACUUUGACGGCUUACGACCUUGAUGUUUCUUUUUUAUUUAAUGUUUUGGAUAUUAUAAUACAUUUAGAUUUGAUGGUUAAUCCACUACUUUUAAGAAUUAUCUACCAGGUGCGUCGUAACUUUGUGUCAGCAUUGUUCCCUACUACUGUUGGCGCAUUGAUCUACUUGGACUACACACACACUAAAAAGUACAAGGAACAGCUAAAACUUGAAAGAACCUAAGUUACAUAAUCAGAAUGGGCUUCAGCAUGUUUCAGAAACGUUUCUUGCAGUACUAUGCCUAUCUCACCGUUCCCCUUGUUAUAGUGUGGGUUGGCAGAAAAAUCCAAGCACACAAUGACGAACAGUAUACAUCAUUUAGAAACAAAAGUAAAAUGUUUGGUGGUCGUGAACUAGCACCAGGAGAAAAAGCCUGGUAAAUAGCAACAUUAAAAUGUGUGGGUUAAUAAGACUGUUAGACAAGUGUUUGUCAUUUGUAGUUUAAAUUGAAACAAAACAAUGUUGGAUUAAAAUAUCUGAUAUUUUACCAUUUCUGUAUAAAAUGUUGCACCGUAAAAGUGUGUGCAAUUAAACCAAUAUUUAAUACC